rnacentral:miRNA from 1 species
GGUAGGGAGGAGGGGGAAAAGGAAAGAAGGAAGGAAUGGAGGGAGAGGGAGGAAGGGGGGAUCUCUGUGCUCAAUGCUCCUACCUUUAACUAUAGGUUUCAAACCUUUCCUUCCUUCCUUCCUCCUUUCUUUCUUUCCUUCCUUCCUUCUUUGUUUUCUUAUUUCUU